UGAGGUUCAAGUGCAUUCCUUUAUCCUUC
rnacentral:piRNA from 1 species